UGGUAGUAAACUCUUAAAUUCUGCUUGCUCUUACCAGUGAGAAACUGUUUCCAGUCCUGGUGUUUUCAAAAAAGACCCUAAGCCAGUCAGGUGUUUGGAUUCUGGCUGAGAUCUUGUUUUGCCUGCUACCACCCUGGAAAUAUGAUGAUACAGUUGCUCAAAUCUAUUGAUAAUGAAGACUACAACAGAGAACAACUGUGGAAACCAGCAUCUGUGUAGACUCCUACCAGCCUUAACCAACACUUCCUUCUCAGCAUGUGCCACACACCAGCUGGGCCAUUCAAGAACAUCUGAAUUAUUUUGGAAAUUAUUACCUGUCAUUUUAAAUGACUGUUUAUGCAAUUUUGCAUUAAGAAAUCUGCAUGAAAGUACUUGUAUCCAGCUGUUGCAACGUGACCAUGCUACCCAGCUGACUUAAUCAAGUGGCAGAGCUGCCAGGAGCUUUUCUAGCCAUUUGGAGGAAAGGAAGGAAUGCUUGGGAGUACAAUACUUUAAAGUCACCUGGGAUUUUAUUUCCAUCUUGUGCUACAGCUGUGGUGGUGCCCAUGUGGUGAUGACACUUUUGCCAAAGCUUGCAUGAGAAACCCGGUAUUACCUUUGCCAAAGCAAACGUACCCUGAAGAGUGGGGUUGGGAUUUUUUCUUCAUUUUCCGUCUUACUUGAUCACUGGUAGAUCAGCUUGGAAGCCACAGAGACCUGCAAAACAAUAACAGCCACCAUGGGAAAGCAGUGGAGGGGAAGUCUGUGGUGUUGGGGCACAGCCUUGUGCCGAUGCCGUUACAGAGCUCUGCCAAUCUGAGCACAACAGGGAGUCCAAUGCACUAUGCUCCUCUUUCUGGCACAGCCACGCUCAUGCUCAUGCAUAUGCAUUAGCAAAGUUGCUGAGCAGGCAGUCAACAUCCCUGUGAUGAACCUGUCAAAAGCAGAAGAACGGGACAUGUUUCUAGCCUGACAGGAUUUGGCUGCUGCUGCAAGUGGAAGAGCUGGGGGCUGUUUAACUUGCACCGAGCAAGACUCAGCCCAUCAGCCAUCCUCACUGCAGUGAUGAUCCCAAUCAGGUGGUAUUUCACUGCGGCGAUCUAACACUGGAGCGAGUUCCUGCUGGUCAGCAAAGCUGCAUAACCCGAAGUGACACUUUUGAUGGAGCACCAUUCAGAACCGGAGGGGAGGGAGGGAGUAGGGUGGUAAGGAGCUUCUGUGACAGCCAUGAGAUCCAUUAUAAAGUCAACUUGGCGGGUAACGGAAUUUAUAAAUACAGAUUCAUAGAAAGAUUCACUCCUUUGCUAGCGAUUUAUACUUCGUAGAUACUGGUACAUUUUAAUGUCACUGAGGCUAAAUAUAUCCUGAUGAAAAAAUUAUGUGUGAUUGAUAGGUAUAUCUAGCUUUAUAGACAAACUCUUUUAUUGAAAUAAAACUUAGCAAUUAUAGCUUGAAGUUAUUAGUCAUAAAGUUUUCAUAAAGGAAAAAAUAAUGCAAAUGGAUGAACAUACAGACACACACCUGCAGACACAUACUCAGAAGAUAAAUUGAUAACUACAUGUAAGCUAAAAAUUCUUACAGAUAAUCUUUAAUCAACAUUUAAGUGUGUAUACUUCCAUAAAAGGGUUAGAAAGAGAACCUUUUCUUGGUUCCCUUCAUUACGGUGGGCCUUCAUCAAAGACAGCCACAGAUACAGACAUCUCCUAGCCUGCAAGUGAACCUGAUAAUACUGAUCAUUCCCCACCAGGACUGCCUGUGGCAAGAUCCUGUGCUAACUGGGGUUAUAGUACUAUUUGUACUAUAUUUCUAAGAAAAUUUAGUCUAUUAAAACAGAAAAUACUUCAUGCUACCAGUUCCGAUUUUGUUUAGACUUUCAUUGUGUGUCAGCAAACACAGCCUUCCACAUCAAUAUUAAAUACUGACAUCUUCUGCACUAAAAUAAUUUGGGACAAUAAAUACUCUCUUAAUAUUUUUCUGAAAUGCUUUGACCUGUUUAUCACAAAUGUCUUUUAAUUGGACUUUAGAGCUUAAGUUUUGCACCGUGACUCCCCUCUCUUUGUUUUAGUAACAGUCUUGUGAAUCUUCUCUUUAACUCUUCAUUAAAAUUUAUUAAAAAGUUUCAUCCUGCUUGGUAAAUUCUUCUUAUUUAUGUUUGGCUGGCCGAGCUCCAUAUGCUAUUUUUCAGUCAUGUUUUUUAAUUGUUGUUCUGAACCACAGAUACCUAGGAGAGUUGCUAAGGUAUGCUUCCAUAAUUUAGUGUCCUUUUCAAAAUAUUUCCACAUUUGUUUAUAGAUCUUAAUUAUUCUGUUAAUGUGUUUUUCUCAUUUAUAGAUAUAUAGUAUCAAACUUCAGUUUAAAUGGCUUGUAUUUAAACCCCCUUUUCCAGCUGAAGGUGUUUUUUGGUCAUAUGUAUCAUAGGAUCAAUAAAAUUGCAAGUGCAAUUAGCAAAAGCAAACAAAUAUACCACUCUCCCUUCCUCAGUCCUGGAGAUACAAUGGCUUUCUUUAUAGCCUUGUAUUUAAACAAAUCGUAAAACCUAAGGCACACUCUGAAAGAGAGAAAGGAACACUUACUGAUAUGGUACUCUUUUUCUUAGUGAGGUGCCAGGUGUCCCAAAAGAAAAUGUGGUCAUAUUGUUCUGCGUGUGUACAAACAUAGGAAAAGAGGAUUUGUGCUCUGAAACAAACAACUCCUGUAGCAAUUAAUUUACAAAUAUAUACAGGAUCUCUGCUUUCCCCACGUAUGUUUUCCAUAGUUGAUUCUAGAGGAAAAUGCAAUCUAAGGUAUAACUCUCUCUAAUAAAAAAAAAGAAAAAAAAAGUAUCUUAGCCAUAAACACAGAUUAGGUAUACAUAUGUGAAUUCGGUAGUGAAGUUAAAAAUACAAGAGAUAAUGUAAGGCAUUUUCAAAAAAAAGUAAGAAAAUAAAAGCAAAAGGAGUUAAAAUAAUAGAGGUUGGGUACACUGGGGCCUUUACUUUUGCUCUUACAUAUAUUUCCACAAUAUAUCAACAGUGGAGAAAAUGCAGUAAGCAAUCAGAGCAGAGGUGUGAGGAAUGAAGGCUAUGGAAUGCUUUCUCUGAAAAUAAUGUGAUUUCUGCCCGACUGGUAGGCAUGCUAUGGAACUUAAUUAAAGUUUAUGAAGCCCAUCAAGGUCUUUGGAUAAAAGGCAUAGUAUUAUGAGCUUGGAAAUUUGUGAUUUCCACUGCCAACAACUGGAAGACUAAAAUAUCAAAUGCUUUUUUCUUGACAAGCCAUCCUUGGUUUGGUUAGCACUAGUUCUGAAUGUCAAUUUAUCCACAAGGAAAUCCAAAGGGGCUUGUGACUGUUUGGUUUUAUUACCAU